GACGAACGCUGGCGGCGUGCUUAACACAUGCAAGUCGAACGGAAAGGCCCUGCUUUUGUGGGGUGCUCGAGUGGCGAACGGGUGAGUAACACGUGAGUAACCUGCCCUUGACUUUGGGAUAACUUCAGGAAACUGGGGCUAAUACCGGAUAGGAGCUCCUGCUGCAUGGUGGGGGUUGGAAAGUUUCGGCGGUUGGGGAUGAACUCGCGGCUUAUCAACUUGUUGGUGGGGUAGUGGCUUACCAAGGCUUUGACGGGUAGCCGGCCUGCGAGGGUGAGCAGCCACAUUGGGACUGAGAUACGGCACAAACUCCUACGGGAGGCAGCAGUGAGGAAUAUUGCACGAUGGGCGGAAGCCUGAUGCAGCAACGCCGGGUGCGGGAUGACGGCCUUCGGGUUGUAAACCGCUUUCGCCUGUGACGAAGCGUGAGUGACGGUAAUAGGUAAAGAAGCACCGGCUAACUACGUG
rnacentral:rRNA from 1 species